rnacentral:rRNA from 1 species
UGGGGAAUAUUGCACAAUGGGCGCAAGCCUGAUGCAGCCAUGCCGCGUGUAUGAAGAAGGCCUUCGGGUUGUAAAGUACUUUCAGUCGGGAGGAAGGUGGUAAGGUUAAUAACCUUAUCAAUUGACGUUACCGACAGAAGAAGCACCGGCUAACUCCGUGCCAGCAGCCGCGGUAAUACGGAGGGUGCAAGCGUUAAUCGGAAUUACUGGGCGUAAAGCGCACGCAGGCGGUUGAUUGAGUAAGAUGUGAAAUCCCCGGGCUUAACCCGGGAAUUGCAUCUGAUACUGGUCAGCUAGAGUCUUGUAGAGGGGGGUAGAAUUCCAUGUGUAGCGGUGAAAUGCGUAGAGAUGUGGAGGAAUACCGGUGGCGAAGGCGGCCCCCUGGACAAAGACUGACGCUCAGGUGCGAAAGCGUGGGGAGCAAACAGG